rnacentral:rRNA from 1 species
UCCAGACUCCUACGGGAGGCAGCAGUGAGGAAUAUUGGUCAAUGGCCGGAAGGCUGAACCAGCCAAGCCGCGUGAAGGACGAAGGUGCCAAGCAUUGUAAACUUCUUUUGUCAAGGGACAAAAUCAGGCUCGAGAGCCUGACCGAGGGUACUUGAAGAAAAAGCAUCGGCUAACUCCGUGCCAGCAGCCGCGGUAAUACGGAGGAUGCGAGCGUUAUCCGGAUUUAUUGGGUUUAAAGGGAGCGUAGACGGGUAAGCAAGUCUGAUGUGAAAAUCCGGGGCCCAACCCCGGAAUUGCAUUGGAAACUGCAUAUCUAGAGUGUCGGAGAGGCAAGUGGAAUUCCUGGUGUAGCGGUGAAAUGCGUAGAUAUCAGGAGGAACACCAGUGGCGAAGGCGGCUUGCUGGACGAUGACUGACGUUGAGGCUCGAAAGCGUGGGGAGCAAACAGGAUUAGAUACCCCAGUAC